rnacentral:lncRNA from 1 species
AAUUACACCAUUAGCAGAAUGCCUGGAUGAGCUUCCUAUUCCCUUAUCCAGCGUUUAUGGUCAUCUAAGAGGAGAACCACCGUUCACAAAUUGCACCCCUGACUUCACAAAUACACUUGAUUAUAUAUUCUUUUCCCCUGAUGAGAAAAUAAAACCAGUCAGUUUCCUAGAACUUCCAGAACCAAAUUCGCCUGAUGUUCUUGGCGGAUUACCAAACUAUAGCCAUCCAAGUGACCAUCUACCGAUUGGUGCUGAAUUUGAAAUCUCCAGGGAAUAAUGUUAGUCACAAAGCUAAUUUCAAUCUGAUUUCUUAUUUAUGUUUUUUUUUUCACAGUUGUCCUUUUACUACAAGCAUUCAUAUGUUCCUUUUUGGAUAGAACAAGAUAUUUUUUACUUUAUUUUGGAGGUUUCAUUUGUUUGAAUAUUUGAUUUGAUUUCAAGGAUUAAUAAGCAACACUUUUAGGAUCAAUAACCAAAAUUUUUUUUACGAGCGAGCUAAAAAAUGUUGGAGCAGAGCCGUCAGUGUGAGUUUGUGUUGAUGGUGUUACUCAAAACAGCAGCGAAGUGAAGUUAAAACUACAGUUUUUUUCUAAACUUCAAGUUAAACCUAUUGUGCUCUUAAAGUUUUAUUUUUAUUAUUAUUAUUAUUAUACCCCUUGCCAUACUGGAAUGCCAGAGUGUGUGUUCAAAUGCUCAGAAGCGAGCGAACCUAAGGAAUGGGUCCAACAUAGCAAGAUAGACGUUAUAUCUUCAAAAUGGUACUUCACCAAAAAUGAUAAGGCAAUUCCAUUUCCAAAUUCUAUCUAUAAACAAAAACUACAGAAUUCCUUCAUAAAAAUUUUCCACUGAAACAUAUUUGUCUUGAGAAUGAUUAGAAAAUUAAGUUACAAACUAAACUAAAUAGAAUUAUAUCAGCAUAUAGAAUUUCUUGAUUGGAAAUCAAAUAUAUUCCAAAGAAAAUGACUAAGUAUCAAUAAGACUAGCUCUGUAAUACAUACAUACAUUGAAAAAGGGAGUUGCUUUGAAAUGAAAAAAAAAAAAAACCUUUUGUUAUCUAGAAAAACUCGUUAUCUCUCCACAGUUCAAUCCUAUCAAAUUACUUUCUCUCUCCUAUAAUUGGUUUCACCGCUGCUAAAGAAGAUGAUGAGAUAGAGAGAUAAAAAUAGGUGGAGAAAGAAAAAUGGAAAUAGAAAGCAAGAGGUAGAAGUGGACAUGCAACUCAGCUCAUCACUAAUCACAAGAAGGACAUUAAACUUUAUUUAGAGAAAAAAAUUCAAUUGAACACAACGUCAGAUCUUACCUUGAUUUUUUGGGAUUCAAAUUGGGUAAAAAUUGAAUCUCUCUCAAAUUCACUUCCUUCAAUUGGGUGUAUUAAUUUAUUGGGGGUGAAGAUGGUAAAACCCUAAAAAAAAAUGAUCUAGGAAGCAAGAGACAGAAGAGCGAUUAUUUAGCACUCUGAGAGAUUGAUAUAGCGAGAGAAGGAGAUGAGAGGAAGAGACUGAUGAGUAUUGAAAAAAAUUCCUCAGAGAAACAGAAGAGGAAGAGAGCAUGUGAGGUGGCGUAUACGUGUUGUUAUUUUUACCAAGUCAGAGCAUUUGUGCUGUACGCAUUUCCUUA